AGAGCGACGAGUUCGAUGACAAGAUGAAGGAAUUGGAGGGUAUCUGCAACCCCAUCAUCGCCAGAAUGUACCAGGGAGGUGCAGGAGGUGAGGGUGCUCCUCCAUCCUACGGAGGAAGCGACUCACCCCCAUCCGGUGCUGGCCCAAAGAUCGAGGAGGUCGACUAAAUGGAAUACGCAAAUACCCUAAUUUUUUGAUUGUGAGUUGGUUCUGUGUGGGAUUGUAC
rnacentral:lncRNA from 1 species